rnacentral:rRNA from 1 species
CCUACGGGUGGCAGCAGUGGGGAAUAUUGGACAAUGGGCGAAAGCCUGAUCCAGCCAUGCCGCGUGUGUGAAGAAGGCCUUCGGGUUGUAAAGCACUUUCAGUGGGGAAGAAAGCCUUGGGGCUAAUACCCUCGAGGAAGGACAUCACCCACAGAAGAAGCACCGGCUAACUCCGUGCCAGCAGCCGCGGUAAUACGGAGGGUGCGAGCGUUAAUCGGAAUUACUGGGCGUAAAGCGCGCGUAGGCGGUCUGAUAAGCCGGUUGUGAAAGCCCCGGGCUCAACACUGGGAACGGCAUCCGGAACGGGAGGGAUAGAGGGCGGGGGAGGAAGGGAAAAUUCCCGGUGGAGCGGUGAAGUGCGGAGGGAUCGGGAGAAAACCGAGGGGAGAGGGCGGCCUUCGGGACUGACACUGACGCGGAGGUGAGAAAGCGUGGGUAGCAAACAGGUUGAGAUACCCCAGUAGUC